UUCAUGGAGAGUUUGAUCCUGGCUCAGGACGAACGCUGGCGGCGUGCCUAAUACAUGCAAGUCGAGCGGACCGAUGGGAGCUUGCUCCCU
rnacentral:rRNA from 1 species